GCCCUUGUGGAUGAAUUGGACAUCACCCAUUUUGAGUAUGAUACGAUCCGACGAAUGUCGAAAUGGGAGGUGGAAGUUCAAAUCCUCCCGAGGACA